CCAAAGAUCAAGUGGACCAUACCACGGGAAACAGUGGAAAUAAUGGUUUCCACCGUUGAAACCUUGCUAGGCCCCAUAGUGAUGUUUAUUUGUCAUCCAAACUUCUCGUAAGAUCACGCAAACAUGGAUGAAUGGAAAAAACAAAUAUAAGAUUGAUCCAAAACUUCUAUGCCCCAGAGAAAUUUUCAACGGUAGACAUUCAAUUCACACUGUUUCCUGUGGUGUGGUCCAUGUUAUCUUUCUAUAUGCUUCAGUUUUGGGCUAAGGCCCUAAAAUCAUCUGGUAAAAUGCAUGGACGGAUUGGAUAAAAUAUAUAAAUCAUAGUGGACCCCUUACUUACUCAUUAAGCAAUCGCCUCCAACGCGGGAACUUCCAGCGAAAGGAAAUCCACGUCCUCCCUUGCCAUGUCUAUAUAAACUACAUCUUCAUGUAAACGUUUCACACGUUACAAAUCCUUCUAUCUGAAGAAAAUUUCGCAGUUGGGGUCCUCUAGGAAUCAUGAUGGACGGCUUAGAUUUCUCUUCUUUUAAUAUGCGAGGUGUCCUCAUCAUGGUGGGCCUUUUCAUCUUCGUCCAUGCUCUUAUUUAUUUCAUCAUCUCAACCUCAUCAGUCAUCUUCUCUCCUAAGGCUAGAUCAGCCCAUUCGAAGACCAUGCGGCCCACCAGCAUGUGGCAGAUCUUCACCGCUCUUUCCGACUUUCCAGUCGGAAGUGAAUCACAGCCGUUGGAAAACUUAUGAUCAUUGAGUAGGAAUAAUCCAUCCGUUGAUUCCAAGCGUUGUGCGGUCAGUUUGAAAAAUUAGUUAUGUGUCCUGAUUAAGGGUCUGAGUGCAUCUGGGCUAUGUUCAUUAGCUGGGCCACACGUACAGUGACUGUGGAGCGUUGGCCAGUCUAUUUUAACCAUCCAUCUCUCUGUAGACGUGGGUCCCACCUGAUAAGAGGACAGGAUGAUUUUUGGGCAGAGGAACGUAUGUGGUGGGGGCAGCCCAGAUCUUGUGCAAAUCUUGUAUGUCGGCAUAUGUGAUAAGUGUAGUCAGACAAAUUCCUUUUUAUAUUGAUUACUCUUUCGUGUACGUUUUGUAAUAUUGUUAUUCGUUUUAGAUAAGAAAAGGUAUUAGCUACAUCUAAGCCGUUGCUUGCAUUUGGACUGUGAUGCUAUCAGUUAAGCAUCACCUUCG